rnacentral:rRNA from 1 species
GACGAACGCUGGCGGCGUGCCUAAUACAUGCAAGUAGAACGCACAGUUUAUACCGUAGCUUGCUACACCAUAGACUGUGAGUUGCGAACGGGUGAGUAACGCGUAGGUAACCUGCCUGGUAGCGGGGGAUAACUAUUGGAAACGAUAGCUAAUACCGCAUAAUAUUAAUUAUUGCAUGGUAAUUAAUUGAAAGGUGCAAUUGCACCACUACCAGAUGGACCUGCGUUGUAUUAGCUAGUAGGUGAGGUAACGGCUCACCUAGGCGACGAUACAUAGCCGACCUGAGAGGGUGAUCGGCCACACUGGGACUGAGACACGGCCCAGACUCAUACGGGAGGCAGCAGUAGGGAAUCUUCGGCAAUGGACGAAAGUCUGACCGAGCAACGCCGCGUGAGUGAAGAAGGUUUUCGGAUCGUAAAGCUCUGUUGUAAGAGAAGAACGGGUGUGAGAGUGGAAAGUUCACACUGUGACGGUAUCUUACCAGAAAGGGACGGCUAACUACGUG